rnacentral:rRNA from 1 species
UACGUAGGGUGCGAGCGUUAAUCGGAAUUACUGGGCGUAAAGCGUGCGCAGGCGGCGCGUUCAGACAGGUGUGAAAGCCCCGAGCUUAACUUGGGAAUUGCGCUUGUGACUGGCGUGCUGGAGUGUGGCAGAGGGAGGUGGAAUUCCACGUGUAGCAGUGAAAUGCGUAGAGAUGUGGAGGAACACCGAUGGCGAAGGCAGCCUCCUGGGCCAGCACUGACGCUCAUGCACGAAAGCGUGGGGAGCAAACAGG